GGGGGAAUUUUCCGCAAUGGGGGAAAGCCUGACGGAGCAAUGCCGCGUGGAGGUGGAAGGCCUACGGGUCGUCAACUUCUUUUCUCGGAGAAGAAACAAUGACGGUAUCUGAGGAAUAAGCAUCGGCUAACUCUGUGCCAG
rnacentral:rRNA from 1 species